rnacentral:rRNA from 1 species
AGAGUUUGAUCCUGGCUCAGGACGAACGCUGGCGGCGCGCCUAACACAUGCAAGUCGAACGAGCGAGAGAGAGCUUGCUUUCUCAAGCGAGUGGCGAACGGGUGAGUAACGCGUGAGGAACCUGCCUCAAAGAGGGGGACAACAGUUGGAAACGACUGCUAAUACCGCAUAAGCCCACGACCCGGCAUCGGGUAGAGGGAAAAGGAGCAAUCCGCUUUGAGAUGGCCUCGCGUCCGAUUAGCUAGUUGGUGAGGUAACGGCCCACCAAGGCGACGAUCGGUAGCCGGACUGAGAGGUUGAACGGCCACAUUGGGACUGAGACACGGCCCAGACUCCUACGGGAGGCAGCAGUGGGGAAUAUUGCACAAUGGGGGAAACCCUGAUGCAGCGACGCCGCGUGGAGGAAGAAGGUCUUCGGAUUGUAAACUCCUGUUGUUGAGGAAGAUAAUGACGGUACUCAACAAGGAAGUGACGGCUAACUACGUGCCAGCAGCCGCGGUAAAACGUAGGUCACAAGCGUUGUCCGGAAUUACUGGGUGUAAAGGGAGCGCAGGCGGGAAGACAAGUUGGAAGUGAAAUCCAUGGGCUCAACCCAUGAACUGCUUUCAAAACUGUUUUUCUUGAGUAGUGCAGAGGUAGGCGGAAUUCCCGGUGUAGCGGUGGAAUGCGUAGAUAUCGGGAGGAACACCAGUGGCGAAGGCGGCCUACUGGGCACCAACUGACGCUGAGGCUCGAAAGUGUGGGUAGCAAACAGGAUUAGAUACCCUGGUAGUCCACACUGUAAACGAUGAUUACUAGGUGUUGGAGGAUUGACCCCUUCAGUGCCGCAGUUAACACAAUAAGUAAUCCACCUGGGGAGUACGACCGCAAGGUUGAAACUCAAAGGAAUUGACGGGGGCCCGCACAAGCAGUGGAGUAUGUGGUUUAAUUCGACGCAACGCGAAGAACCUUACCAAGUCUUGACAUCCUGCGACGGUGCUGGAAACAGUACUUUCCUUCGGGACGCAGAGACAGGUGGUGCAUGGUUGUCGUCAGCUCGUGUCGUGAGAUGUUGGGUUAAGUCCCGCAACGAGCGCAACCCUUA